AUGUCUGUCAUAGACCUUUAGUCUAAAAACAAGCAAAAAGACUCAAACGCAGAAAAAACCUGCCCUGCGAAUACGGCACCCAUGACGUCAGCAGUUUUCACCUCCGGAUUUCAGCUCGUUCACUGCACUUUUAAAACUUUGAAAAUAAAGCCGGGAAUGGAAUUAAGCAGAAUAAAACUGCAAUUAAACACAGGUAACAGCGCCCCCACCCUGACGGUCCUGCCCCCCUCCAGUGUGGAGGUGUCCAGCAAGAACAAGGCCACCCUGAUGUGCCUGGCCAACAGGGGCUUCCCCUCCGACUGGAAGCUGAGCUGGAAAGUGGACGGUAAAAGCAAAGUGGUGGAGACGAGCCGCGGGCUCCUGGAGAAGGACGGCCUGUCCAGCUGGAGCAGCAGCCUGAGCCUCACUGCGGACGAGUGGAAGAAGGCGGGCUCAGUGGUCUGUGAGGCCCAUCAGGGCUGCCAGGCUCCUGUCACUCAAACGCUGACGAGGGCCGACUGUUCAGAGUAGAUGAGCUCAGCGUCACCUGUGAUGAGCGGCUGAUUACUGUGUUUUUACUGUGCUGUGUUACGCGCUUCAGAUUUACUGAUUACAUAGAGAAAAUAACAUGCUUUGCUUGAUUCCUGAAUGAAAAUCAUUACUGAUGUUUUAUUAGUCUUUGUGUCUCCCUGUAUUAUCUUGUGUGUUUUAUACCUGAAUGCUGCAGAGAUAAAUAAAUAUUUCAUUCUGUCUGACAAA